rnacentral:rRNA from 1 species
CCUACGGGAGGCAGCAGUGGGGAAUAUUGGACAAUGGGGGCAACCCUGAUCCAGCCAUGCCGCGUGUGUGAAGAAGGCCCUCGGGUUGUAAAGCACUUUCAGUGAGGAAGAACGCCUGGUGGUUAAUACCCAUCAGGAAAGACAUCACUCACAGAAGAAGCACCGGCUAACUCCGUGCCAGCAGCCGCGGUAAUACGGAGGGUGCGAGCGUUAAUCGGAAUUACUGGGCGUAAAGCGCGCGUAGGUGGCUUGAUAAGCCGGUUGUGCAAGCCCCGGGCUCAACCUGGGAACGGCAUCCGGAACUGUCAAGCUAGAGGGCAGGAGAGGAAGGUAGAAUUCCCGGUGUAGCGGUGAAAUGCGUAGAGAUCGGGAGGAAUACCAGUGGCGAAGGCGGCCUUCUGGACUGACACUGACACUGAGGUGCGAAAGCGUGGGUAGCAAACAGGAUUAGAUACCCUAGUAGUC